rnacentral:rRNA from 1 species
GUCGAACGAAACUUCUUUAUCACCGAGUGCUUGCACUCACCGAUAAAGAGUUGAGUGGCGAACGGGUGAGUAACACGUGGGCAACCUGCCCAAAAGAGGGGGAUAACACUUGGAAACAGGUGCUAAUACCGCAUAACCAUAGUUACCGCAUGGUAACUAUGUAAAAGGUGGCUAUGCUACCGCUUUUGGAUGGGCCCGCGGCGCAUUAGCUAGUUGGUGGGGUAAAGGCUUACCAAGGCAAUGAUGCGUAGCCGAACUGAGAGGUUGAUCGGCCACAUUGGGACUGAGACACGGCCCAAACUCCUACGGGAGGCAGCAGUAGGGAAUCUUCCACAAUGGGCGAAAGCCUGAUGGAGCAACGCCGCGUGGGUGAAGAAGGUGGGGGGAUAAAAAAACCCUGUUGCUAGAGAAGAACGUGCGUGAGAGUAACUGUUCACGUUUCGACGGUAUCUAACCAGAAAGCCACGGCUAACUACGUGCCAGCAGCCGCGGUAAUACGUAGGUGGCAAGCGUUAUCCGGAUUUAUUGGGCGUAAAGGGAACGCAGGCGGUCUUUUAAGUCUGAUGUGAAAGCCUUCGGCUUAACCGGAGUAGUGCAUUGGAAACUGGGAGACUUGAGUGCAGAAGAGGAGAGUGGAACUCCAUGUGUAGCGGUGAAAUGGGUA